AACGAACGCUGGCGGCAGGCCUAACACAUGCAAGUCGAGCGGAUCCUUCGGGAUUAGCGGCGGACGGGUGAGUAACGCGUGGGAAUAUGCCCUUCUCUACGGAAUAGCCUCGGGAAACUGGGAGUAAUACCGUAUAUGCCCUACGGGGGAAAGAUUUAUCGGAGAAGGAUUAGCCCGCGUUGGAUUAGGUAGUUGGUGGGGUAAUGGCCUACCAAGCCUACGAUCCAUAGCUGGUUUGAGAGGAUGAUCAGCCACACUGGGACUGAGACACGGCCCAGACUCCUACGGGAGGCAGCAGUGGGGAAUCUUAGACAAUGGGGGAAACCCUGAUCUAGCCAUGCCGCGUGAGUGAUGAAGGCCUUAGGGUUGUAAAGCUCUUUCAGCUGGGAAGAUAAUGACGGUACCAGCAGAAGAAGCCCCGGCUAACUCCGUGCCAGCAGCCGCGGUAACAC
rnacentral:rRNA from 1 species